AAACUUUCAACAACGGAUCUCUUGGUUUUGGCAUUGAUGAAGAACGCAGCGAAAUGCGAUAAGUAAUGCGAAUUGCAGAAUUCCAGUGAGUCAUCGAAUCUUUGAAUGCAC
rnacentral:rRNA from 1 species